UCACAUCAGCCAGUGGCAAGCAGCAGCGGCAAACGUAACGCAACGCUCAGACCAUAAUAAGUUAUAUCUCGUUCCUAAGCAGGAGUGUGCGGUCCAUAUGGGCAGGUGGGGCAGCGAACUACCUGAAGCAUCCUCCACAAAAAAUAGUUCCUCAGUAAAUCAUUGCUCCAAGUCUACUUUUAAUAAUGUGAUUGUCACAUUAAUUAUCUAUAGUUUCUGUAGGCUUUCCAACUAUUUUUGGUCUAUUGACAUCAACUUUUGGAUGAUGGUGGCGAUUCUCGUUGAGUUUAAUGUGUCAUGCAAUGUUGGGGCAGGGCACCUCGACGAUCGCAUUCCUCAAUAAAUUAUCGCAUAACCCUGGCGGCUUCAAUAAGGAUUGCAAUCUGCGCUAAAAGACGCCUGUAUGGUCGUAAAGUAGUCUGCCCCAUGGUCAUAUUCUAGAACUAGCCUACUCAAAUUAUUCCGCCAGUUAUAAAUUAGGCCUAUCGUUUCAUUUCAAGAUGCAGAAAUGGCGAGUAGUGUUGCACCUGUUAACUGUGUUGAGUUUCUGUUUAAAAAAACUAUUUGAGAGGUUGAAAUUAGAAGAUACGUUAGCUAACCCUGGUGUCUUCCUUGGUUUAGUAGCUAGCUUCUAGUGGAUUUAAUAGCAUCUUUUGACAGCGCAAAAACGAGAAGGCAACGGUGUUCAAAGGUAUGGCAUAGGCUGCUGCAUUCAGAAUGAGCUAUCAAUAUAGCCUAGUUUCUACAGCGAGUGGUCAGACAAUUAUCCAUAACACCCAACUGUCUUGAGUUGCAGUUAUAAAACCCAACUACUUAAAAAUAUUAGAUAGUUAGCAGGCCAGACAGAACACAAAAAAAAAAUAGUUUUGUUUACCCAUAGCAACAACGUUGCUAUGCUUCGCUGGUUUAACGUGAUGAGAAUGGGGCAAACUUAACUGAUGGGUUACUGAUCUACAAUUCUGACUGUGACAUGAUUUAAGCAUACCGCAAAGUCCUUUAAAAUAUGUCAUUUUAAUGUAGCCCAAAAUGAUAGGCUAUUAAAAAAAGUCAGACUUUCUGCCCUACCAAAAUGUAUGGUCACCGCACGCUACAGUUCCUAAGCAACACAAACGGUUUGUCAAUUGAAUACACUCGCGUUGUUAAACCAAGUUCAACGCUCAGCUUGUUCAACGCUAGUGUUACGCCAGUGUUGCCACCGUUAGGCUGCCGAACCAUAGAGAACAAUAGGAAACCUGUCGCUUGCCGCUGGCUAAUGUGAUCCCCGCCUUAUGACUAGAUUACUGAGAGAGCGACAUCGAAAAAUUUAACAAAAAGAAUAGCUCAAAAUUAUACCCACGACAUGUUACCUCGAACCUAAACACAUGAGAUUGGGGGAAAAGAGUGGUUUUUUUUUUCAGAACUGUUUUUCAGAUUGGGCUGAAAAGUUUGGAAAGUUUUGGCUACACUGAAAUCUCAACUGAAGCAGUAAGUAGUGUAUACAGAUCAAAAAGUGUUGAAAAAAAGUUGAAGUAGAAGUACAGUUGUAGGCUUUUUGUGUUUAUUCAGAUGAAGGACAGUGAAGAGUGACAGGAAGCGAGUGGGAGAGCGAGAUAAGGGUUUUAUCAGGAAAUUACUGCGGGACUGCGGGAUCCACUUCAGUUGCAUGUCCAGGUGUACCCUGGCCAUUUCAUUGACAUUUCCUGACUAAAUGAAUCCAUGUGCCACAACCAUUGUUCACGGUAGAGUUGUCUAGGUUUAAUCAUGUGGAAUGGCUGAAUCCAAAACUGUUAUUUUACAAGUUUCUAAAUUCAGUGUCAACCACUAUACAGUAUACAGUAUAUAAAAGUACAGAUAUAUAGUAUACACUACUUUAUGAUUUCUAUAGAAGUUCUAUGAUAGUGUUUCUCAGUGGGGGGAGGGGGUGGGGUUGAAAACAUAACCUUCUUGGUGGAGGAUCUGUUACAGAUAUGGGGGAAUGCAAAAGUGUUAUUUCAUGUUACGUUUUAGCUUAUUAGAGUUUUUUAGAUACUUUAGCGUCAGACUGAUCAAUCAGGUCAUUAUUUUGAACUUAUUAUUGAUUAAAUCUUCACUCUUUUACAAAGCUGUAGAAGUACAAUUGUGGGCUUUUUAUGUUUAUUCAGAUGAAGGACAGUGAAGAAUGACAGGAAGCGAGUGGGAGAGCGAGAUUAGGGUGUUAACAGGAAAUGACCGCAGGAGGGACCUCUGUGGGCACAUGACCCAGACUUUGCUACGUGUGCUGCAGACACGUGUGCAUCAGCUCCCCCUGUUUUUUUAUAAAAUGUCCCCGGCAGUGGUGUAGUCUACAUGAUAUUAUCAUUUGAGGUUGAUUACAGUAUACCCACUACAGCUAACUAGACUACACCACUGGUCUCCGGCACAUACAUACAUGAUUAAACCUAGACAACUCUACCGUGCACAAUGAUUGUGGCACAUGGACUCAUUUUGUCAGGAAAUGCCAAUGUAACAGCCAGGAUACACCCGGACAUGCAACGGAAGUGGAACGUUCCUGGAGCAUAUGCUGCAACAUUUAGCUUCCACUUAGAGUCAAUGUAACAGGCCGAUGUAAGCAAUUUUUUUUCUCGGCUUGAGGUGCUACUCAAAAAAGAUCUUCAGGGUUGGCAGUUUAUUGGAGUUCUUAUAGUGUCAGUGCUGUCAGACUCAUCAAUCAGGUAAUUAUUUUGAACUCAUUAUUGUUUACUUCACUAUUUUACACAGCUGGCUGGCUUUCUUGACACGCACACACACAUUUGCUGCUCAUUUGGCAAUGCUAUAAAUGGCACCUACUGCUGUUACUGCUUUUGUUCAUAGUAUAUUUACUAUAUUUGCUCAUGUAUGCCUUGAUUCAAUAAAACUGGUUUUCCA